CAGUCGCCGCGGUAAUACGAAGGGGGCUAGCGUUGUUCAGAUUUACUGGGCGUAAAGGGCGCGUAGGCGGGCGAUUAAGUCAGGGGUGAAAUCCCAAGGCUCAACCUUGGAACUGCCUUUGAUACUGAUUGUCUUGGGUCCGGGAGAGGUGAGUGGAACUGCGAGUGUAGAGGUGAAAUUCGUAGAUAUUCGCAAGAACACCAGUGGCGAAGGCGGCUCACUGGCCCGGAACUGACGCUGAGGCGCGAAAGCGUGGGGAGCAAACAGGAUUAGAUACCCCGGUAGUCCCUGUCUCUUAUAC
rnacentral:rRNA from 1 species